AAUCCUUCAUUUCUUCUUUCAUAAAAUCGUAUUUGAAAAUAAGCUAGAAGCUCAAGUUGGUGGAGAACUUUUGAGCUAUUCAAGAGUAAAGCAGCCUGUGAUACUUUGUGAAAAACAAUUAUGUUGACUAAUUUCAGUCUGAGGUUCUGAGGAUCUUGGGCAAGUCUUCAUAUGAACAAGUCAAGAACAAUUCAUGUCUGAAUAAUGUUUACAUCAGAGGGAUUACAAGCGGUCGGGUUGAUUAACAAAGAAACGAGCAGCAGCAAAAUGCACCUGCCGAAACCCCCCAACGUGGCGUGUGCGACCAUCACGAUCAAAGUCGUGAUUGGUCAGAACGGGGCCCAUCAUUUGUGUUUCACAAGUGUCUAGUUUGAUAUCUAGUUACAAAUUUUAAAUUUCAAGUAAACAAACACCUGGUUUUUCCUUUGACAGAAUCCGAAAGUUCCAAGAUGUGAAUCCUAACGCCGUAAACAUUGACACAGCUUGGCGAGCUCCCCAUUAUGUAAAUACCUUGUGAAAACAAACUUUGGCGCAUAAAGUAUUAAUGCUGUUUGAGAAAAAUCAGUUUUUGUUUGCUGUGUCUUUUGAAGCUAGUGUAACUCCUGGUCAUUCUAUAUGACUAUAAAAGCUCGUUGGAAUCAAAUGCUAAUCCCGACAUGUUUUUCUUGUUCAUUUAAACCUUUUAUAUACAUGUGGGAGCCCGAGAGAGUGGAAAGCUUUCAGGGCUUAAGCUUAAAUUGUUUGUCGUUCUCAUGCCUGCUCUCUGAAAAGUAUUUGGCCUGCUUGUAUUUGUAAGGUAAAAUAUACAUUGGUGUUCUUAAGCAUUUUCUUUCUUUUUCCCUUUAUGCCGGUUUAUUUGGUUUACAGAUAUAGAGAGCAGACCUGCUAAAGUUGGAUUGUUACUGUGAGAGAGCAGACCUACUGAAGCUGGAUUGUUUGACUUGCCACCUUGUAAAAAAUGUCUAUGGGAGUUGAUUUGCUAGGUUAGCCCCUGACUCAAGCUUCCAAAAGAAAAAAAAUAUUCUCAACCCAACUCAAUGGUAUUAAAACCCCAAAGAGCAUUGAAAAAAAGAAAAGAAAAGAAACUAAACAAACACAACUCACCAAAGCUUUCUCCAGAGCUGCAGGAGUCCAACUUAACCUCUGGAGUAUUUCUUGCUUUUAGUUUUGUCAUGAAUAAGAAGCAACUGCUGGGCACAAAUUUGUGGUACUUUAUUUUCCUCCAGUGGAUAUUACAUCCAUUAGCCGUACAUUGGCCAAUAGCAUUAAGCUACAUGAAAUUCAUCAAGGACGAAAUUUAAAUGGAUGUAGGAAAAGCUUAAAAAGAUUUUUCCAUAUGUCAAAGCUACAGAUCGGAACAAAUAAGUAUUUGUUUCUCAAGAGGUGAUUAUGUGUGAAAUGAAAUACAGGUGACCUUUGAACAAUGCUGGGGGUUAGGAGCACCAACCCCUGCACCGUCAAAAAUCCACGUAUAACAUUACAGUCGGCCCGCCUCAGCCUCCACCCACCCCAUCCAGGGCUUCAACCAACCACAUGUUGAGUAGCGUGGAGUACAUGUCUAGUGGGAAAAAAAAAAAAAAUCUAUGUAAAGUGGACCCAUGCAGCUCAAACCUGUUUAAGGAUCAACGGUAUUGUCAGUUAGCUUUUGAUGUGUAAGGAACUUCUCCACACCUAACCACCUUUAACUAGCUCAUGACUCCAUAAGCCUGCCUAUGGGAUAGGCUCUGAUGAAUGUUUCUUCUGAUGGGGACUGGAAGUGACUGAUCUCAGUUGAGUUCACCCACACAUCUAUGGUCAGCUGCUGGGUCAGUGAGGGACCAUCUGGUCAGAUGUGACCAAAGCAAGGACACCUGAGACCUCUCCCCAUGAGGCCUCUCAGCCUGGUCCAUUAUUGGGAUAAAACUUGCAUAUCUUUUCCAUUUUGAUUUAUUCAUUUAAAAUUUUUGUUUCUUUUUUUUUUUUUUUUCUUUUUAGGGUCACACCCACAGCAUAUGGAAGUUCACAGGUUAGAAGUCGAAUCAGAGCUGUAGCCGAAGGCCUACACCACAGCCACGGCAAUGAGGGAAAGCCACGUCUGUGACCUACACCACAGCUCAUGGCAAUGCUGGAUCCUUAACCCACUGAGCGAGGCCAGGGAUCAAACCUGCAUCUUCAUGGCUGCUAGUCUUAUUUGUUUCCACUGAGCCAUGACAGGAACUCCCUCCAUUUAUUUUUAAUCUGUCCAUAUCUAUAAAUUCCUCUCAUUAUUUCUUUAAUUUGUGUCGUAUUAGAAUAUUCCUAAGGGCAGCAUCCUCUCCUGGUUGCCUGAAUUUUCUGCAGACAGGGAGUAGAGAGAAAGCCAACAUUUCUCCUGACUUAUUUUCCAUAACUUUUAGGGUUAUUUUAUUUGUGUCUUUAAUUGUCAUCAGCCCCAAAUGUUUUCAGGAAGGAACCACAGUCCAAACAAAACUAACUGAUUCAUUAAUUAGAUGGUCAAAUGAUUAAAAAUUGAUGGCUAAAUGAAUUAGCAUUUUUAUUGGAUUUAUUGCCUUUAAUUUCUACUUCCCGUUUCCUGUACGUCUCAGAGAAGCUGACCCAUCUCUGGCAGUUUUGGCCUUAGAAACUUCAUCCCGAGGCCAACACAGACACUGCUGAUCGAUUCCACAGCCACAGCAGAAUGUGCCCCAGUUGUUCCUCACCAGUUAAUCCAGAAGCACAAAGCAAUAUUUUGAUACAACUGUUUGAAUGAGGCUGUUUGAGGCCCUCUACAGGACUCACUGGCAUUUGGGAGGGGGACAUGGCCCAAGAAUCAAGGUUUGAAAGCAUCCACUCAUCUCUCCUAAACAAUAAAUAUUCAAAUGCAUAUCAGAGCCCCUACUUCAGGCCAGGCCCUAAGGAGGAGACUAUGUGAGCAAAAUUGAGGCCAGCUCAGCCCUCCUGAGGCUCUGAUCAAAUUGGUAAGAGAACUGUUCAUUGUUAACCUUCCAACUUGGUCAAUAAAAGCUGUAAUGCGUGUUCUGAAGAGAAAGCAUUGAGAAGACGGGUUUGAGGACAGGAAAGAAAGGUAUAUAAUUGCAGUGGUUGAGAAUGGAGGUGCAGGUUGACCAGGAGAACAGACCAGGUUACCAGGGCCUAACAGACACCAUGAGGCUCCCAGGGAUUCUCCUCUAGCAGGGCUCAGCCACCCAGAUGCAGAGCUUUGGAUACUGCCAGGACCAGGUCAUACAAGUUGGUUUUGAUGAAAUUAUCAGGGCUUAAGGGAGUUUAAAACAUGGGCAGGAGGAAUUUCCGCUUGUGGCUCAGUGGUAAUGAGCCCUACUAAUAUCCAUGAGGGUGCAGCUUCAAUCCCUGGCCUUGCUCAGCUGGGUAAGAUCCAGCAUUGCAGUGAGCUGUGGUGUAUGUCAUAGAUGUGGCUCAGAUCCCGCUGGGGCUGGAGGC
rnacentral:lncRNA from 1 species